rnacentral:rRNA from 1 species
UACGAAGGGGGCUAGCGUUGCUCGGAAUUACUGCGCGUAAAGCGUGCGCAGGCGGUUAUUUAAGUCAGGUGUGAAAGCCCUGGGCUUAACCUAGGAAUUGCGCUUGAGACUGGAUAGCUUGGAGUGCGGCAGAGGGAGGUGGAAUUCCACGUGUAGCAGUGAAAUGCGUAGAUAUGCGGAGGAACACCGAUGGCGAAGGCAAUCCCCUGGGCCUGCACUGACGCUCAUGCACGAAAGCGUGGGGAGCAAACAGG